UACGUAGGGACCGAGCGUUGUCCGGAUUCAUUGGGCGUAAAGAGCUCGUAGGCGGCUGCUCAAGUCGAAUGUGAAAACUCGAGGCUCAACCUCGAGUCUGCAUUCGAUACUGGGCGGCUAGAGUCUGGUAGGGGGAUCUGGAAUUCCUGGUGUAGCGGUGGAAUGCGCAGAUAUCAGGAGGAACACCGGUGGCGAAGGCGGGUCUCUGGGCAGUUACUGACGUGAGGAGCGAAAGCGUGGGGAGCGAACAGG
rnacentral:rRNA from 1 species